UACGGAGGAUCCGAGCGUUAUCCGGAUUUAUUGGGUUUAAAGGGUGCGCAGGCGGGAGAUUAAGUCGGCGGUGAAAUUUUGCAGCUCAACUGUAAAAGUGCCUUCGAAACUGGUUUCCUUGAGUGUGGAUGAAGUAGGCGGAAUUUGUGGUGUAGCGGUGAAAUGCUUAGAUAUCACGAGGAACUCCGAUUGCGCAGGCAGCUUACUAAACCACUACUGACGCUCAGGCACGAAGGCAUGGGGAUCAAACAGGAUUAGAUACCCGCGUAGU
rnacentral:rRNA from 1 species